rnacentral:rRNA from 1 species
AUUGAACGCUGGCGGCAUGCUUUACACAUGCAAGUCGAACGGUAACAGGUCUUCGGAUGCUGACGAGUGGCGAACGGGUGGGUAAUGUAUCGGAACGUGCCCAGUAGUGGGGGAUAACUACUCGAAAGAGUGGCUAAUACCGCAUGAGAACUGAGGUUGAAAGCGGGGGGACCUUCGGGCCUCGCGCUACUGGAGCGGCCGAUAUCAGAUUAGGUAGUUGGUGGGGUAAAGGCCUACCAAGCCGACGAUCUGUAGCUGGUCUGAGAGGACGACCAGCCACACUGGGACUGAGACACGGCCUAGACUCCUACGGGAGGCAGCAGUGGGGAAUUUUGGACAAUGGGCGCAAGCCUGAUCCAGCCAUGCCGCGUGCGGGACGAAGGCCUUCGGGUUGUAAACCGCUUUCAGCCGGAAAGAAAUACGCUGUUUUUAAUACGGUACAGUGGAUGACGGUACCGGAAGAAGAAGCACCGGCUAACUACGUGCCAGCAGCCGCGGU